ACGGGUGAGUAACACGUGGGAACCUUCCUAGGGGUACGGAACAACUCAGGGAAACUUGAGCUAAUACCGUAUACGUCCGUGAGGAGAAAGAUUUAUCGCCCUUAGACGGGCCCGCGUCGGAUUAGCUAGUUGGUGGGGUAACGGCCUACCAAGGCGACGAUCCGUAGCUGAUCUUAGAGGAUGAUCAGCCACACUGGGACUGAGACACGGCCCAGACUCCUACGGGAGGCAGCAGUGGGGAAUCUUGGACAAUGGGCGCAAGCCUGAUCCAGCCAUGCCGCGUGAGUGAAGAAGGUCUUCGGAUUGUAAAGCUCUUUUGCCAGGGACGAUAAUGACGGUACCUGGAGAAUAAGCCCCGGCAAACUUCGUGCCAGCAGCCGCGGUAAUACGAAGGGGGCUAGCGUUGUUCGGAAUUACUGGGCGUAAAGCGCACGUAGGCGGGUCGUUAAGUCAGGGGUGAAAUCCCGGAGCUCAACUCCGGAACUGCCUUUGAUACUGGCGAUCUUGAGAUCGGAAGAGGUGAGUGGAAUUCCCAGUGUAGAGGUGAAAUUCGUAGA
rnacentral:rRNA from 1 species